rnacentral:tRNA from 1 species
AUUUAUGUAGUUUAAUUAUAAAACAUUUUAUUUUCAUUAAAAAUAUAGCUAUUUGCUCUUAAAUU